rnacentral:rRNA from 1 species
UACGAAGGGGGCGAGCGUUGUUCGGAUUUACUGGGCGUAAAGGGCGCGCAGGCGGCUUUGUUUGUCAGGCGUGAAAGCCCCGGGCUUAACCUGGGAACUGCGUUUGAUACGGCAGGGCUAGAGUUCGGGAGAGGAGAGUGGAAUUCCCAGUGUAGCAGUGAAAUGCGUAGAGAUGUGGAGGAACACCGAUGGCGAAGGCAGCCUCCUGGCCUGCACUGACGCUCAUGCACGAAAGCGUGGGGAGCAAACAGG